rnacentral:pre_miRNA from 1 species
AUAUUCAGGGCCUGAUCCAAAGCCCAGGGAAAUCACAACAAGUCUUUCCACUGAUUUCAAUGGGCUUUGGAUCAGGUCUUUAGCAU